GACGAACGCUGGCGGCGUGCUUAACACAUGCCAGUCGAACGGAAAGGCCCUGCUUUUGUGGGGUGCUCGAGUGGCGAACGGGUGAGUAACACGUGAGUAACCUGCCCUUGACUUUGGGAUAACUUCAGGAAACUGGGGCUAAUACCGGAUAGGAGCUCCUGCUGCAUGGUGGGGGUUGGAAAGUUUCGGCGGUUGGGGAUGGACUCGCGGCUUAUCAGCUUGUUGGUGGGGUAGUGGCUUACCAAGGCUUUGACGGGUAGCCGGCCUGAGAGGGUGACCGGCCACAUUGGGACUGGGAUACGGCCCAGACUCCUACGGGAGGCAGCAGUGGGGAAUAUUGCACAAUGGGCGGAAGCCUGAUGCAGCAACGCCGCGUGCGGGAUGACGGCCUUCGGGUUGUAAACCGAUUUCGCCUGUGACGAAGCGUGAGUGACGGUAAUGGGUAAAGAAGCACCGGCUAACUACGUG
rnacentral:rRNA from 1 species